GCUCCUGACUAGCUUAACUGGCAGAGCAUGGCAUUCACAUUGCUAGUGUUAUGUUAGGGGUUCGAUUCCCACCGGGACCA